rnacentral:lncRNA from 1 species
UUUUGUUCCCAUUUCUAAGAAGGGGCAAAGUGUCCACACUUUGGUCUUCGUUCUUCUUGAAUUUCAUGGGUUUAGCAAAUUGUAUCUUAUAUCUUGGGUAUCCUAAGUUUCUGGGCUAAUAUUCACUUAUCAGUGAGUAUAUAUUGUGCGAGUUCCUUUGUGAUUGGGUUACCUCACUCAGGAUGAUGCCCUCCAGGUCCAUCCAUUUGCCUAGGAAUUUCAUAAAUUCAUUUUUUUAAUGCCUGAGUAGUACUCCAUUGUGUAAAUGUACCACAUUUUCUGUAUCCAUUCCUCUGUUUAGGGAAAUCUGGGUUCUUUCCAGCUUCUGGCCAUUAUAAAUAAGGGUGCUAUGAACAUAGUGGAGCAUGUGUCCUUCUUACCGGUUGGGACAUCUUCUGGAUAUAUGCCCAGGAGAGGCAUUGCGGGAUCCUCCGGUAGUACUAUGUCCAAUUUUCUGAGGAACCGCCAGACUGAUUUCCUGAGUGGUUGUACAAGCCUGCAAUCCCACCAACAAUGGAGGAGUGUUCCUCUUUCUCCACAUCCUCGCCAGCAUCUGCUGUCACCUGAAUUUUUGAUCUUAGCCAUUCUGACUGGAGUGAAGUGGAAUCUCAGGGUUGUUUUGAUUUGCAUUUCCCUGAUGAUUAAGGAUGUUGAACAUUUUUUCAGGUGCUUCUCAGCCAUUCCGUAUUCCUCAGGUGAGAAUUCUUUGUUCAGCUCUGAGCCCCAUUUUUUAAUGGGGUUAUUUGAUUUUCUGGAGUCCACCUUCUUGAGUUCUUUAUAUAUAUUGGAUAUUAGUCCCCCAUCCGAUUUGGGAUAGGUAAAGAUCUUUUCCCAAUCUGUUGGUGGCCUUUUUGUCCUAUUGACGGUGUCUUUUGAUAGUCUACUUUUAAAGAUAUUAAUUCAGGGGAAUACUGGCCAUGCUAAUCAGGCACAUUGGAGAAUGACAAAAGUUUCUGUUAAUAAUUUACCUUUUCCCACACUAUUUUUCCUCUCCCUCUGUUUUCUUUUUAAGCAUUAUUUCAGUGCCCAUUCUGCACAGAAUUUUAGCUAUUUGUUGAGGGAACACCAGUUGCUACUAGCAAAGAAGGAGAAUGUUCACAGAAGAGGAAUGAGUGGAAAGAAGGUUUGAUACCACUGGGUAAAAUGAUUGUGAGAAAAGAAAUUUCAUAUAUGGGGAACAACACACACAACCUGGAAGCAUGACAGAAACUUGCCUUAUUUGGAAAAUUUAUAGGGAAUUUGCACUGUGGUACCAAGGAAUGGUGAAAGAUGCAGGAAAUGAAAAGCAAGAAGUGGGCAAUUUAUAAGUCUUAAAGUUCUAAGGAGACCAUGCUGUUGUCUGCCACACCCACUCCAGUGAAUUCUGUGUGUGAAGCUUGGCCACAGUCCUGAGGCAAAAAGUUUCACAGAAACUUGUCUGCUGGAGAGUCUCUGGUGCCCCAUAACCAGAUUUGUCCCUAAGAUAGGGUGGAGGGUCUUUCAUGCUUUCUUAGAGUAUUUUACUAGAUAAGAGCUAAAAAAUCUCAGGGCAAGUUCUACAAAGAAAACUUAGAAUUACAGCCGAGGCACUCCCAUAUGCAGGAAUUUACAAUGGCCUAAGAAGAAGGAGGGUUGUGGCUUAAGGAGGAACUACAGUAUUACAUUAUUCAUGAGCAAGAGCAGAACCCCCUGGUGCAAGCUUUCAAAAGGCUCAGAGGAAUAGCAUAAAUUGUGACUAGAGUGUGAAAUCCUCACCUGGCUCCCUAAUGGCUAACUUUAGAAAGGGCUGCCUUUUAUCUCAGUUGUAACCACUGCCUGGUUCCUGCUAGUAUUUAUGUAUGCAUUUCUCUGUUUUUUGCAAGAUAAUAUCAAUGUACCUUGGCUGAUGUGUCACCUA